UGAGUAACCUGCCCUUCACUCUGGGAUAGCUCCGGGAGACCGGGGCUAAUACUGGAUAUGACUCGAACAGGCAUCUGUUUCGGGUGGAAAGAUUUAUUGGUGGAGGAUGGACUCGCGGCCUAUCAGCUUGUUGGUGAGGUAAUGGCUCACCAAGGCGACGACGGGUAGCCGGCCUGAGAGGGCGAUCGGCCACACUGGGACUGAGACACGGCCCAGACUCCGUACGGGAGCA
rnacentral:rRNA from 1 species